rnacentral:rRNA from 1 species
GGGUAGCCGAGCUGACAGGUUGAUCGGGCACACUGGAACUGAAACACGGUCCAGACACCUACGGGUGGCAACAGUAGGGAAUAUUGCGCAAUGGGCGAAAGCCUGACGCAGCCAUGCCGCGUGGAUGAUGAACGCCUUCGGGUCGUAAAGUCCUUUUCUGAGGGAAGAAAUGCGCGGAGGAGGAAAUGCCUUCGACUUGACGGUACCUCAGGAAUAAGCAACGGCUAACUCCGUGCCAGCAGCCGCGGUAAUACGGAGGUUGCAAGCGUUGUUCGGAAUGACUGGGCGUAAAGGGAGUGCAAGCGGCCAGGUCAGUCUGAAGUGAAAGCCCGGGGCUCAAGCCCUGUGAAUUGCUUUGGAUACUGCCUGGCUUGAGUGUGCGAGAGGAAAGCGGAAUACCAGGUGUAACGGUGACAUGCGUAGAUAUCUGGGGGAACAGCUGGUGGUGAAAGCGGCUUUCUGGCGCAUACCUGACGCUGAGGCUCGAAAGCCUGGGGAACGAACGGGAUUAGAUACCCCGGUAGUCCACGCCGUAAACCUUGUGCACUAGGUCUGGGAGGUAUCGACCCCUUCCGUGCCGGAGCUAACGCAUUAAGUGCACCGCCUGGGGAGUACGGUCGCAAGACUGAAACUCAAAGGAAUUGACGGGGGCCCGCACAAGCGCUGGAGCAUGUGGUUUAAUUCGAGGCAACGCGAAGAACCUUACCCAGGCUGGACAUCCCGAGACCGCCAUGGAAACAUGGUUUCCCCUUCGGGGGAUCGGUGACAGGUGUUGCAUGACUGUCGUCAGCUCGUGUCGUGAGAUGUUGGAUUAAGUCCCGCAACGAGCGCAACCCCUGCCCCUAGUUACUCAGCGUUUCGACCGGGCACUCUAGGGAGACUGCCGGUGAUAAACCGGAGGAAGGUGGGGACGACGUCAAGUCAUCACGGCCCCUUAUGCCUGGGGCGACACACGUGCUACAAUGGCCGGUACAAAGAGCAGCAAAGCCGC